rnacentral:rRNA from 1 species
GAUCCUGGCUCAGGAUGAACGCUAGCUACAGGCCUAACACAUGCAAGUCGAGGGGCAGCAUGAUUGAAGCUUGCUUCAAUUGAUGGCGACCGGCGCACGGGUGAGUAACACGUAUCCAACCUUCCGCUGACUCGGGGAUAGCCUUUCGAAAGAAAGAUUAAUACCCGAUAGUAAAGGAUUUCCGCAUGGAUAUUCUUUUAAAGGAUUCCGGUCAGCGAUGGGGAUGCGUUCCAUUAGAUAGUUGGG